rnacentral:lncRNA from 1 species
CAUAGUUGUAGGCCAGGAUCUCGUGGGGGUACCCGAUGGACACCAGGUGCUCCAGCAGCAGCCUGAAGCACAGCUCCUCGUAGGCGGGCGAUUUGUACAUGGCCAAUGUGUAGUCCAUGUCGAAGCCGAAGCAUUUGAUCUUCUCCAGCGCCAGGCUGCGGUUCACGAAGAUCCGAUGCUGGCAGUCCCUGCGCAGUGCCGGGGGGUCGCACCCCCCCAGCGCCGGGCCCCGCUCUCCCUCGCUGCCC